rnacentral:lncRNA from 1 species
UAGAGCUUUCUGAUUCUUGCACUUCUCCCUGACUUACUCUCCUUCUCGUAUGUUUGAAAGAUGGAAGAAAGUGAGAACAAAGCUAACAAAUUUAAAAUUUAAAAGAUAGAUAUUCUCGUCUAUCACAUGCGUCCCCACAAGAGAUAUGGUGUGGAGAGAUAUCUCCAAGAGUUGAGAUAUUGAGACCUUUUUAUACGUGUAGGUAGAGAGGAGGCUUUCAUAAAUUUUAGAUGUGGGAC